rnacentral:rRNA from 1 species
UUCCAGACUCCUACGGGAGGCAGCAGUGGGGGAUAUUGCACAAUGGGGGGAACCCUGAUGCAGCGACGCCGCGUGGGGGAAGGAGCGUUUCGGCGCGUAAAGCCCGAUCGGCAGGGAAGAAGGAGGACGGUACCUGACUAAGAAGCCCCGGCUAACUACGUUCCAGCAGCCGCGGGAAUACGUAGGGGGCAAGCGUUAUCCGGAUUUACUGGGUGGAAAGGGGGCGCAGAAGGCAGCGCAAGCCAGGAGUGAAAGCCCGGGGCCCAACCCCGGGACUGCUCUUGGAACUGCGCGGCUGGAGUGGAGGAGGGGCAGGCGGAAUUCCUGGUGUAGCGGUGAAAUGCGUAGAUAUCAGGAGGAACACCGGGGGCGAAGGCGGCCUGCUGGACCGUGACUGACGUUGAGGCUCGAGAGCGUGGGGAGCAAACAGGAUUAGAUACCCGAGUAUA